UACGGAGGAUGCAAGCGUUAUCCGGAAUCACUGGGCGUAAAGCGUCUGUAGGUGGCUCAGAAAGUCUGCUGUUAAAUCUUGGGGCUCAACCCUAAAUCAGCAGUGGAAACUUCUAGGCUAGAGUAUGGUAGGGGUAGAGGGAAUUCCCAGUGUAGCGGUGAAAUGCGUAGAUAUUGGGAAGAACACCAGAGGCGAAAGCGCUCUGCUAGGCCAUUACUGACACUCAGAGACGAAAGCUAGGGGAGCAAAUGGG
rnacentral:rRNA from 1 species